AUACGAACUGUGCAAACGUUAUUCGGAAUCACUGGGCUUAAAGGGUGCGUAGGCGGGUUUGAAGGUCUGAUGUGAAAGCCCACGGCUCAACCGUGGAAUUGCGUUGGAAACCACAAGCCUUGAGGGAGUAAGAGGUGAGCGGAACUAAUGGUGGAGCGGUGAAAUGCGUUGAUAUCAUUAGGAACACCGGUGGCGAAAGCGGCUCACUGGGACUCUUCUGACGCUGAGGCACGAAAGCUAGGGGAGCGAACGGGAUUAGAAACCCCUGUAGUCC
rnacentral:rRNA from 1 species